GUUAAAUCUAGACUCCUCGCUACCAUUAGCACCAAGAUGCUGGAGUCCUUGACAAUGAGGUGCACAUUUCUUAGAAUCAAGAUUAAUGUUGGUGGUGAUCCAUACAUUGCAUCCACUUCUAUAUUUAUGAUAAAUCAUUAUCAUUAUUAAGUUUUAUAUAAAGGAGAUGUUGUUUAGGUCUUAUGUGACGCCCCUCAUCCGUCUACAGUGUAGC
rnacentral:misc_RNA from 1 species